rnacentral:sRNA from 1 species
UCCAAACGCAAAACCAACUCGAACGAGGUUUGAGCGGCGUUUUGCGUUUUGCAUUGAGUUUUUUUUCCGUACAAAACGCAAUCACCGUCGAACCUUACUCCGAAUCCAGCUCGAACCUGGUUCGAGCGCGAGUGAUGCCGUUUUUCCCAUACAAAACGCAAAACUCAUUUGUUUUUUCAUCGGUAUUUUUUUGUCAUUCUCUUUGUCCCGUUCGUUCGUCGAUUUCUCGUCUCUCGUAGUGAUUUCUUUAACAAAAAUUUAAACAUAUACACACCAUGUAUAUAUAAAUAUAUAUUUAAUAAAUUUAGUGCAACAUAUACACGCAUAAUAAGAACCCCCCGUUUAGGCUAAAUAUCAAGUGCAAUCCCCCCCAAAAACUACCAAAAGGCAAUUCAAUUUACGUAAAAGACAAAACAAAAAGAAAAGAAGUGAAAAAACGGCGCGUGUGAAAUUUUUUCAACGAAGAGAAGUUGAAGCAGCCGCAGCACAGCAGAGGAGAAGCAGAGCAACAGCAGCAGCAACAAAAAGAAGAGAAAAAUACAACUACAAAAUUCCCCACACACAAAAGUUUUCAAGGAAAAUGUGCAACAAGAAGCCGCCGUUAGGGAGCAGGACCAGCAACAACAAUAAAAUUAAGGCUGCUGGACAGGUUUCCCACGGCUAAAGAAAACAACGAGGAAAAGAAGA